UAGGGAAUUUUGCGCAGUGGGGGAAACCCUGACGCAGCGACGCCGCGUGAAUGAUGAAGGCCUUCGGGUCGUAAAGUUCUGUCAGCAGGGAAGAAAGACCCGUGGUCUAAUAGGCCAUGGGAGUGACGGUACCUGCGGAGGAAGCACCGGCUAACUCUGUGCCAGCAGCCGCGGUAAUACAGAGGGUGCAAGCGUUAUUCGGAAUUAUUGGGCGUAAAGCGCACGUAGGCGGGUAGGAAAGUCAGGUGUGAAAUACCGGGGCUCAACUCCGGAAUUGCAUUUGAAACUUCCUAUCUUGAGGUCGAAAGAGGAAGAUGGAAUUCUUGGUGUAGAAGUGAAAUUCGUAGAUAUCAAGAGGAACACCUGUGGCGAAGGCGGUUUUCUGGUUCGAUACUGACGCUGAGAUGCGAGAGCGUGGGGAGCAAACAGG
rnacentral:rRNA from 1 species